GCUUCUGCUGCUUAAACGUUGUAUUACUGUAAUACCCCAAAAAUUCACAGUGGAUUUUCAUAUUUUAGAGAAAAAUAAUAUUAUGGUGGAGAAUGAUUAUGGGUAUUUUAUCAAGUGAUUUUGGAUGGAGAUUAUUAAAAUAAGUGUGUUUAAUUUCAAGUUGAACACAAAUGACCAAAAUACCUAUAUGUGUGAAAAAUUACCAAAAUACCCUUGUAAGCCCCAAAAAAAAAAACAUCUGAAACGUGGAGGACAUCAAACCACCCUCCUCCCAUUCUUCCCCUCUUGCCUCAUGCUUUCAAAUUUGCCAUUAUGAAAGGAUGAGUCACCUAGUCUAAAGUGGUGAGUCACCUAGUCUAAAGUGGUGAGUCACCUAGCCUAAGAUUCUUCAAUCAUGAAUUUAUUCUCUUCUUCCUCAUUCAUUGUAUCAUCACUUUCUUCCUUCUUCACCUUAUUUUCAUCUUCAUUCUUCUUUUGUUCCUCUUCAAAACCAAAAUUCGUCACUUCCUUGGAGCAGCCGGGAACUCAAAUUUCGAAAGCUCAAAUGAGAAAACUUCCUUCAUAAAAGUUGUUCAUUUACAUGAUUCCUAUAACAUUCUCCAAUUUCAGCUCUAUCCGACUAGCACAGGCUCCAAAGAGUUGGUUGAUCGGACUUCUAUAGCCACCUUGGGAAUGUUUCUAGUGGAACUUGUUUAUAGUCUUCGACCCUAGUUCCUUCCCUUGUUUUCAGUCCAAAACACUCAUUUUGAAAGCUCAAAACACUAUGGUUUCUUCAUGAUAGUUACUCCGAAUUUUCCUCUUUAUAACAUAUCCAAAGAUGUGUACUUUCUCUCAAAUGGCUUGUUACUUGUCAUUCAAUUGAUCAACUUAGUCGCUAUCAUCUCAAGUAAAUGAUUCUUUGAAGGUGUUCUACUCUGCGUACUUUCAAGGAUGAACCCACACAAGGUUAAGCUAGCUGGGCACGAGGAUUCAAGGUGAAGUUUGAGGAAGCGGGUUUCAACCAAGCUACUAGGCUUUUGUUGUUGUUUUGUGUACUUAAUAUUUCGGAUGAGCCAGCAAAGCAGUACGAAUUUGAAUAUGAACGAUUGCCUUAUUUUUGUCUGUACUGCUGUCGGUUCGACCAUGUGGGGGCAACUUGUGAACUUAAAAAGCAAGGAGCGAUGGUGGAGGAACAAUAUGGGUGUUGAAAAACUAUGGUGAAGGAUGUUUAAAGUAUACAGAGAGAGAAUGGUUUUAAAGGGUGUUAGCUAUGGACUGAGAGGCAACACCACUCUAUGACUAAGAAUCCAUGAACCUUUUCCUAUAUUAAUGGGCUUAGUUGAACUCAUAUGGUGGCCUUUGAUUCUUUAGAGGUUGACAUGUCUUCCAUAGAGGAUGAGGAAUAGAUGGCAAUAUCUCCACAGCCAAAUAAGAAAGAGGUUGACAUGUCUUCCAUAGAGGAUGGGGAAUUGAUGACGAUAUCUCCACAGCCAAAUAAGAAACGUAGAUUAGAGGUGGAUGUGGUUGAAUGGGGGCAUAGUACUAGGCAGGAAGUUGAGAAUGCCAAUUUGAAUGAGGUCUCAGUCCAGCUGUGCUUCGAGCUCACUGGGAGUCCAGGUUCAAGGAGUCCCUAUGAUGGUUGGAGUGGGGAAGUUGAAUCCACUUUGCAGGGUGGGAGGUCUGGUCUAGAGUCUGGGUCACAUGUUGUAUCCUCUCCACCGCAACCAGCCGCUUUAAGUAAACGAAAGAGGUUCUAUGUGGGAGGAGCUCGUCCACGACACGGUCCCAAGAUAGGGGUGGUGCAUAACGACAAGGGGUUUUAAAGGAAACUGAACGAUCUGGCAAUGCUAGAGAAUCUGUGAUGUGUCUCGGGUCAAGGGCUAAUCACGAGAAAUGAUGAUUCUCUGUUGGAAUGUCUGUAGUUUGGGUUCACCACGGACACUCCGAGCUCUGAAGGCUUUGAUUAGAGCAAAGAAACCCUGUGUGGUAUUUUCAUUUGAAACCAAAAAGGCUACACGACAUAUGGCAGUUAUCAACAACAGUUAGGGGUGGCGGGUUUCUUUAGUGUGAAUUGCAAAGAAAGAUCGGGGGGUCUUGCCCUACUUUGGAAGGAAGGUGUGUAUGUGACUAUUCGGUCAUUCUCGGUGGGUCAUAUUGAUGCUUAUAUAGAAGGAGUGGAACAUGUUGGUUUUCGAUUCAUAGGUGUUUAUGGUAACUCAGAGACUAAUUUAUGGAAGCAUUCGUGGAAUCUUCUAAGAUGGCUUGCAAGGGAUGUGUCGGGUCCUUGGUGGUGGGUAGAGAUUUUGAUGAGAUUGUGGUAGCCCAUUAGUAUAUUUAGAUGCUUUAGAGGAGUGUGGUUUGGCUCCCAUUCUUUAUAUAGGGUACAAAUACACGUGGUCCAAUUGUUGGAGUAGGGAAGAAAAUGUACAGCCUCGGUUGGAUAGAUGUGUGGCUAAUAAUGAGAUAAUGUCUGCCUUUCCUGAUUUGCUUAUUCACCAU